rnacentral:rRNA from 1 species
GACGAACGCUGGCGGCGUGCUUAACACAUGCAAGUCGAACGCUGAAGCCCUGGCUUUUGUUGGGUUGGAUGAGUGGCGAACGGGUGAGUAACACGUGAGUAACCUGCCCUCUUCUUUGGGAUAACGCCCGGAAACGGGUGCUAAUACUGGAUAUUCACUGAUCUUCGCAUGGGGGUUGGUGGAAAGGUUUGUUCUGGUGGGGGAUGGGCUCGCGGCCUAUCAGCUUGUUGGUGGGGUGAUGGCCUACCAAGGCUUUGACGGGUAGCCGGCCUGAGAGGGUGACCGGGCACAUUGGGACUGAGAUACGGCCCAGACGCCUACGGGAGGCAGCAGUGGGGAAUAGUGCACAAUGGGCGAAAGCCUGAUGCAGCGACGCCGCGUGAGGGAUGGAGGCCUUCGGGUUGUAAACCUCUUUCGCUCAUGGUCAAGCCGCAACUGUGGGUUGUGGUGAGGGUAGUGGGUAAAGAAGCGCCGGCUAACUACGUG